GUCCACGCCCUAAACGAUGAUUACUAGAUGUGUGCAAUAUACCGUACGCGUCACAGCUAAAGCGUUAAGUAAUCCACCUGGGGAGUACGGCCGCAAGGCUGAAACUCAAAGGAAUUGACGGGGGCCCGCACAAGCGGAGGAGCAUGUGGUUUAAUUCGAUGAUACGCGAGGAACCUUACCAGGGCUUGAAAGUUAGUGAAUGAUUUUAGAAAUAGGUCAGCAAGCAAUUGCACGAAACUAGGUGCUGCAUGGCCGUCGU
rnacentral:rRNA from 1 species